rnacentral:rRNA from 1 species
UACGGAGGGAGCAAGCGUUACUCGGAAUUAUUGGGCGUAAAGGGCGCGUAGGCGAUCUGACAAGUCUGGUGUGAAAGCCCACAUGUUAACUGCGGAAGUGCAUUAGAAACUGUUGGAUUUGAGUUCAGGAGAGGAAGGCAGAAUUCCCGGUGUAGCGGUGAAAUGCGUAGAGAUCGGGAGGAAUACCAGUGGCGAAGGCGGCCUUCUGGACUGACACUGACGCUGAGGCGCGAAAGCCAGGGGAGCAAACGGG